AACACUGCUUAAAGACUAAAAUGUCGCACUAGCCCAAUCCACUCUGAGCAGAGUCCUUAAUCAAGUGUUGGAUACGUUUCAAACAUAUCUAUGCCCGGAUGGAUAAAAUUUCCAAUAUCACAAGAAGAACAGCGGGAAAUUGCAACGGCGUUUUAUCAAAAGCAUAAAAUACCAGGUGUUAUCGGGUGCGUUGAUGGAACGCACGUUUGAAUCAUCGCUCCUUCAGAAAACAGACACCUCUACUACAACCGAAAGGGUUAUUAUAGCAUGAAUGUUAUACUGGCUCGUGACCACGAAUUAAAAAUACGGUUUGUUGAUGCUUCUCAUCCUGGCGCUUGACAUGACUCGUUCGUCUGAAACAUAAGCGAUGUACGAAGAUACUUUGAGGAGGAAUUUGCGACGCAUAGAAGAAAUAUUUGGCUUUUAGGUGAUGCGGGAUAUCCACUGGAACCGUGGAUUAUGACUCCAUAUAGAACUCCAAGAAACGGUUCAACGGAAUCACGCUUCAAUGAAGUGCAUUCCAAAUGUCGCAAUAUUAUUGAACGCACGAAUGGAGUUUUGAAGGCCCGAUGGAGGUGCAUUCUUUCCGUUCGAGAGCUACACUAUUCGCCUGAAAAGGCAGCGAAAAGUAUUAAUGUUUGUUGUUGCUUACACAACAUUUGUAUCCAUUUUAAGGUGGAUAUUCUCGAAGACCAUGUGGAAGACGAAAUCCGUGAUAUGGAACCUAUUGUAAUUACGUCAGAAAACCACAUGGAAAUUGCGUGGUCAAUAAGAUAUAAUAUCCGCGAUUCAAUUUCUACUUGAAUGAUUGGUUUUUUAAUUAACUUUUAUAAUAAAAAAGCUGUUUAUUAUAUUAUUUCAAACAUGUAAAGAAAAAUCAGUGUGGAUAAAAAACUUAAGCCAAUAUUCCAUGUCAAACGGUUUACCGUCAUGUAAAAAAAUAGCAACUCCGUAUUAUGUGCAGUUUUGACUAUUUUUAUUCUAAAUGUUUAAUGUUAACUAAUUUUUGAUAAAAGUCUAGCUCAUUGUAUAACAAACUCCAAACAAUCCAUUUCAUACUUUGUAGAAAAAUAAAAUAAUGCAAUAUAUUUUCACAACAAACAUUUUAUUUAGGAUUUACCUUCCACUCUAGUACGGUUUUUAUUGGGGGUCCUGCCGCGUUGAGCUCCAGCUCUACCUCCCGCCAAAAUCUC